rnacentral:lncRNA from 1 species
UGGGCAUACCACGGAGGAUUGUCAAGCUUUGCAGCGGGAAAUCGAAGCCUUCAUUAAAAGAGGAUUCUUAAGGAAUUACAUUGGUCAUGAUAAACGCUCGAGGAAUGAUCGUGACAAUCGGAAAGAGCCUGGAACCGGAAACAGUGCUCAACCCACUGUCGGGACAAUUAAUAUUAUCGUCGGGGGCAUAGCAUUUGCAGGAGACACAAAUAGUGGGCGAAAGCAGUAUAUCCGCCAACAUGCUCAUAUCCCAAGGGAAUCCCGUGAUGAAGUCAAAAACAUCAC